UGAAAGAGGAGGGACCAGAAGAGAUCUCCCACUGGAGGUCCCUCUGCUCUCCACCCAUAGUAACCACAGAGAAUGCACGAUAGUUGCUAUGAUAAUUAGCUAGCGACAGCUAUGAAGUAUAGGAGUAUCAGCCUGUUCCGACACCGGCACGUUGAGGUCAUGAAGGAUGUUUGCUCUGCUUGGGGAAAUGUGUUUUGGGCAAAAUCGGCAAAAAAACAGAAGGAGCGUUGGUGGAUUUUACAGAAAAUAUGUUAGGAUCACAGUGGGGGAGCAGAGAGCCAGGUAAGCCAUGACAGUGUCCCAUUGAAG